CUCACUCCGCCCACCGUUCAGUACGUUGAAAUACUCUACCGGUGUGUCUAUGUGUCGCUGCUCGCAAAGAGACAAGGCGGCGCGCUGUACCUACAGAGAGGACAAAAAAACAAACAAGCAAAAAAAAAAAAAAACCCACUGGACGCAUAGUCUGGGACGAGCAGACGGCACUUCUUUUAGCUAGACCGAAGCCACUGACACCGUCCGUACUCACCCGGCUCCUUUCUCCUUUGUUUUCAGUGUAAAACUUCGGCUUUGUCAGCAUUUACCGGUGUGCCACUCACCUCUCGCACGUUACUUUUGACACGGGUUGUCCCCGUUUGAAUCUCGGGGGCUCCUCGUCGGGGAGAAAGAAAACCAAAAGCCUGUACUUUACCGCGGACCUCCUGAGCUACCUCUGAAAUCACAGAAAAGUGGUAGCAGCCACCAGACAGGGUCCUUCGUAGUUACUGGGAUGUUAGAGCUCUGGAAGCAGGACCAGGACUGACUAUAGGAGCAUGGUGAAACACCAACCCCUCCAGGUCUAUGAGCGCCAACUGUGUUUGUCAUGUAUCACAGGGAUCUAUGGUUGCCGCUGGAAACGCUAUCAGCGUUCCCAUGAUGACACCACCAAGUGGGAGUUGCUGUGGUCCCUCAUCCUCCUUUUUACCUUCUGUCUACUGCUGGUCUGGUUCUACUUCUGGUGGGAGGCACAUAAUGACUACAACGAAUUCAACUGGUUCCUCUACAAUCGCUCUGGGGAGUGGAGUGAUGGCACUGUUCCCAUCCUGGCCACCACAGCUGCUGGAUUCACCUAUGUUGCGUUUUUAAUGGUUUUAGCACUUUGCCACAUUGCACUUGGGCAACAGUUAAAUUUGCACUGGAUCCAUAAGAUAGGAGUGACUGCUACUCUGCUCACCACCAUCAUUGGGGUGAUAUCCAUCAAUCAAACAUGGGGGCAAGAGUGGGAUGUCAUUCCCAUCUCCCUGCAGGCUACAGGUCCGUUCCUGCACAUAGGAGCUCUUGCUGCGGUCACAGCAUUGUCUUGGAUUGUGGCUGGACAGGUCGCCCGUGCAGAAAAAACAGUGUUCCAGGUGGUGGUCAUGCUGCUGUAUUUCAGUGUGUUACUAGGACUCUAUGUGAUGCCACUCUACAUCACCUCCCCCUGCAUCAUGGAGCCCACCACCCUCAAACCAUGUCCUGAUGUUAUUGGUCAUCAGGGAGCUCCCAUGCUUGCUCCAGAGAACACACUGUGGUCCUUCCAGCGAGCUCUGCAGAUGAAUGUCAGUGGUUUGGAGGCUGAUGUGGCUAUCAGUGUGGAUGGAGUGCCUUUCCUGAUGCACGAUCGCACCCUGCAGAGGACCACAGACGUAGGGAAGGUUUUCCCAGACAGACAGAUGGACGAAGCCUCAUUCUUCAACUGGACAGAUCUACAACAGCUCAACGCAGGACAGUGGUUCCUGAAGGAUGACCCCUUCUGGAUGGUGCACACCCUGUCUCCGCAAGAGAAGGCUCUGAUUGCCAACCAGAGUGUGAGCAGCCUGGAGCAGCUUCUAAAGCUGGCCUCCUAUCAUAACAGCACAGUGGUUUUCAGGCUCAGGAGACCUCCUCCAGAACACCCCUCCUACCACAGCUGGAUCAACGAUACACUGCAUGCUGUGCAGCAAUCUGGUGUUCCUCAGAACUUGGUAAUGUGGACUCCAGAUGAGCACAGAGCUCAGGUGAGACAGCUGGCACCUGGUCUGAUCCAGACCUCAGUAGAGAAACUAAGUCCUCAAAGUCUCCAUCAGUUGGGCAUCAGCAGGCUGCUUCUAAGAUAUAACCAGGCCAGCACACGGGAAAUCAGUGACUUCUCCGAGAGCCACAUCAACCUCACCCUCUACACUGUCAACGAGCCCUGGCUGUAUUCAGUGCUCUGGUGCAGCGGAGUGUCUUCAGUCUCCUCAGAGGCACCGCAUAUCCUCAGAAAGGUGCCUUACCCCAUCUGGCUCAUGAGACCACAUGAAUACUGCCUGAUGUGGGUGUCUGCAGACCUCAUCUCCUUUGCUGUAGUCAUAGGAAUAUUCAUUUUCCAGAACUAUCACAUGAUCAGGUAUCGGAUGAGCGGUAUGCGCAGCUACAACCCUGAGCAGAUCAUGCUGAGUGCCGCAGUCAGGAGGUCAAGUCGAGACAUCAGUGUCAUGAAGGAGAAACUUAUCUUUUCUGGUCAGCCCCAGUAGGCGCCUGCCUCCACCAUCCUUCGUGUGUGAUGUGCACCACCUCCUGUCCAUCCUACCUCCUCUCAUCUCCUCAGCCAGCAGUGACCUCUUCCUUUUUAUUCCAUGCAUCUGUUGCAUCCCAUGUUACCUGCCAUCUCUCUGCCUACUUUGCCCUUCUCCCACCUUCAUCCAUUCAUCCGUCGCUUCAUGCACCAAAUCUGCCCCUCCCAAUGGAGACAGCAUUAUGUGUAGGGAGCUAAUAGACGCCCCAGUCUGUCUAGACAACCUCUAGUGCUGGGGGUAAAAGAGGUGAGAAACGGAGUUGGCAGUGCUGAGGAGCUGUAUGCGGACAAUGGCUACAACUACUACACCAAUCAGGGCAUCAGCCAGUGAUUGUAACUAAGCCCGUGUGAGUCUGCUGCGGUGAGACGGAAUCUACAACACGCUGUGUUCAAAUCAUUCCUGUUUUACUCAGUGUAAAGUCUUUUUCUUCUCCUCUGUCCUACUGAUAAACUGACAGACUGCUGUACCUGACAGAGAAAACAGCCACCCCGUUGCUUUGUGUACAUUCUGUAAAUAGGGUUUUUGUUUGUCAGACAUACUGUAUAUCACACGGGACUACACGCACUUUUUAUUUAUGGAAUUCGUCAAAUCUGUGGCCUCCUCCUCUCACAUCUAAAUGUCCAAGAGGCCCCCCCGAGUUACCGAUGCCUGCUUCUUCUCAAAGACGAGUUUCAAGAUUCUUUACAUUAAGCUCAUUUUCCAAAGCAGAUUUUAAUCACUGUAAAUGAUAUUCCUCUAUUAGCAGAUACAUUUGUAUUUAACAAGGCUUUUUAACAAACCUUUAUUGCAGCAUGAGAUAAAAAGCUUAAUAGAUCAUUGUGAUCCUGCCUUCUGUCAGCAUUCCACUGUGCUGUUGUUGAUAAUAGUACUAACUUUAAUAUUUAUAUUUAAAGCUAAAAACAAAAAAAACACAAACAAGCUGUUUACAAAAGUCCUGCCUUCUCCUCCAGGUGAAAUAUUCACAUGGUGUACGUAAGAUAAUUUUGAUAGAGGCUGAAUGAACCCCCUGCCCUACUUUUGAUCAGUGCAUGUUACAGUAGUGAUCAUAUCAAAUGAUCUGUGUGAGCUGUGCUCCCAGUGUGUAACCAGAGGAACUGGAGAAAAUGGUUUGGCGUGGAGAUUUGUGCUGUCUUUUAAUGGUUAAUGUGAAUGUGUUAUGGAUUAUGUUUUUCUUUUUUCUUUUUUUUUUUAAAGAUGUGUACGGUGUAUUGUGUGUAUCCUGGCUGGAAGUGUAUUUUUUUACCCUGUGUGCAGUCCUAUGUUGAACGUGUUAUUGUGUAUAUAAAAGGUGAUCCAAUGUGAGAGAUGCUCCAGGCAAAUAAGAAUUACAUUUGAACAAUGUGACAGCUCAAUAAUUACAAUAGCAAUAUUCUGGUCAUGGUGGAAGUCCUUUCACUUCCAACACAGCCUCUGGAUUGCAGUUAGGUCUGUGGUAUUGUAGUGCUGACAAACAAAAUGCAUCUUCAUGUUAGUUUCUGGUGUAAAACUGAAUGCUGUACGGUAAAUGAAAUGGGUGCUAAAUGUGAAAAUAAAGCUCCAACCUAACUGAAGGGACUCUACUACAGGUAUCGCAAUAGGCAGCGCUGGGUCAAGAAAUUGAUUGCCUUUUGUGUUGACUUUCUCUCUUUGAGUAUUACUGUGCCUCAAGUAAACAUUAAAAAAAAAAUGUUCUAAUACAGGAAGACACAUCAUGGUUAUUAUUUGUUGUGAUUUAUUUUCUAACAUCUCAAUCUUUUCAUGUUUACGAACUUGUCUCAUCUUUUUUUACUGUGCGUCUACGGUAUAAGACGGCAUUACUCUUAGCAUUGUAUAUUUGUAAACAUUUCUGACUCCUGUACAGCUGCCAAAGUGAUGUAAGCAAUCGUGUUUGCCUACAUAAAACUUUUAAAGUGU